AGCAGAGCUAGAAUCCGGCCUCCAGUUUUCACCCAGGAGACAGGAGGAUUCUGGGUGGAAGGGCAGGAGGGACUGGGGUCCCCCCCAGAAGGAGCACCCCAGGAUGAUGCCACACAAGAGAGUCUUCCGAGACCGGAAAUGCUUGCAAGGAAGGAAGAACCACUUUCUGUCCUCCAUCAUCAGGAGCACAGAAGGAUGAAGCUGGGCCCGCAUAGAGAAGCAUCUCAUGCUGUCUGCAGUGGCUGCAGCGCUCUCCUGGGGCAGGAGAUGCUCAAAGGUCAACAUGACUUUGAAAAGGGGCUGGGAGAAAAGCCCCCAGUGCUGGCUCUGGACUCACUACCCCAGGGCUCCUAAAGGGCUAAACAUGACUAGAUUGUAGUGAGCCUGUCCUAACAUGCAAAGAAGCAUCCAGGGAUAAUGUCUAAAUACAGAUGUGCUAUUUCUCUCCUC
rnacentral:lncRNA from 1 species